CACGUAGUUAGCCGGGGCUUCUUAGUCAGGUACCGUCUUCUUUCGUCCCUGCUGAUAGAGCUUUACAUACCGAAAUACUUCCUCGCUCACGCGGCGUCGCUGCAUCAGGGUUCCCCCCAUUGUGCAAUAUUCCCCACUGCUGCCUCCCGUAGGAGUUUGGGCCGUGUCUCAGUCCCAAUGUGGCCGGUCGCCCUCUCAGGCCGGCUACUGAUCGUUGCCUUGGUGGGCUUUUACCCCUCAACUAGCUAAUCAGACGCGGACUCAUCCUGCACCGAAUUUCUUUUCCUACUCCCUCAUGCGAGGCUGUAGGCUUAUGCGGUAUUAGCAGCCAUUUCUAGCUGUUGUCCCCCUGUGCAGGGCAGAUUAUCCACGUGUUACUCACCCGUCCGUCACUCAGCAGGAAGGUGCAAGCACCCUCCUGCUUCGUUCGACUUGCAUGUGUUAAGCACGCCGCCAGCGUUCAUCCUGACGCCAGGAUCAAACUCU
rnacentral:rRNA from 1 species